rnacentral:rRNA from 1 species
AUUGAACGCUGGCGGCAUGCUUUACACAUGCAAGUCGAACGGCAGCGCGGGCUUCGGCCUGGCGGCGAGUGGCGAACGGGUGAGUAAUACAUCGGAACGUGCCCAGUAGUGGGGGAUAGCUCGGCGAAAGCCGGAUUAAUACCGCAUACGACCUGAGGGUGAAAGCGGGGGAUCUUCGGACCUCGCGAUAUUGGAGCGGCCGAUGGCAGAUUAGCUAGUUGGUGGGGUAAGGGCCUACCAAGGCGACGAUCUGUAGCUGGUCUGAGAGGACGACCAGCCACACUGGGACUGAGACACGGCCCAGACUCCUACGGGAGGCAGCAGUGGGGAAUUUUGGACAAUGGGCGAAAGCCUGAUCCAGCAAUGCCGCGUGUGUGAUGAAGGCCUUCGGGUUGUAAAGCACUUUUGGCGGGAACGAAAAGGACUGUGCCAAUACCACGGUUCGAUGACGGUACCCGCAGAAUAAGCACCGGCUAACUACGUG